UAUUUAGAAAUUUGGGGAUGUCCUUUGCUAAAGCAGCGCUGUGAGAAAGGAGGAGAAGAUUGGUCUAAGAUUCAGCACAUCAAUUAUGUGGAAUUGGAUUGGGAUAGAAUUAAUCAAAUGCCCCAAUGAUAUCUCCAGGAAGAUGUUCACCAACUAGUGUUGGGUUUGUAUAUAAUCAGAAGCGGCAACAUAAGUAUUCUUGGAGAAUUAGAUGAAGAAAUGAAUUCAACUGUGGACUGGUUGGUGGAAAGAACUUGCUCGCUGAAGCCUGUCAUUCAUUGUGGGAUUAUUGGGAUGGCCUUAUUAUGCUUUUGAGGGACAUGUAGUUCUCUAUUAAUCAUCAGUUUCGUGAAGAAAAUUUCACACCAGAUUACCUCUCUAAAAGGGGUGAGGAGGGUAAUUAUAAUGACACUUUUGGUGGUUUUAAUUUGUUGCCUAGUAAGUUGAAAGGUAUUCUUAGGAAAGCUUGGUUUGCCUCAUUUGAGAUUGUAUUACACCUUUUGAUUCCUUUCUUGUUUAGGCUUGGUU